GAAAUUUUGGUCUUGUCCUUUUUAGGAAAACUUUAAGUCAUUCAGUGUUUUCACAGUUCUGUCAAACCAAGGGCUCUUCAGUGCAUGGAAAAAUCAUCCGUGCCUCCGAGCUGGAAUCAAUGGGUGAGGAAGUUGAAGCAAAGCAGACUGGAGUUAAUGGGGGUGUUCUGACCAACCUCAGGGGUUGCCCCAGAGCUUCCCAGCAGCCCUGCAGAGAUCCAGCUGUUUGUGGGAUCCUGGAGUGGGAGAACUUGGACCAUGAGGAAGGAGAGGUUUGGAAGCAGCCUCAGGGAGGUACAAGUGGUGACAGAGGGGGAUGUGCUCUGUGUCUGGGUAAGCUGGGCAUCACCUUGGAGGGGUGGAGAGCCAGCAGCCAGGGCAUCUCUGUCAUCUUUGGGAGCAAAAGAAGCUGAUUUUAUAAACUUCUGGCUCAGCUGAACUUCAUUUUAAAAUCUGUAAAGAAAUUUCAACCUGGAUUAACCUCCACUACGCUCAGAUUUCAUUGUGAACAUUUUUUACAGCUGUUCAGAGUUUUCUGCUGUUGCAAAGAACAAUUAAUUUGGGGAACAAUAAUUCCUGGCUUCAAAGCCUAUAUCCAUAUGGCUAUCAAGGCAGUUUGUAAUUCCAUAAUUGAAAUCAUAGAUGACUGCUGCAGCAUCCUCAGAGGGGCUGGGUUUUUUGGAAUGUUAUUUUGUUUUCCUACUACUUCCCCUUUCUCAUCAGCCCAAAUAUUUGCUGGUCUUACCUCAGGACUGGUGAUGUGACCCCGCUGUGUCCUUUGUAGGGCACAAUAUGAGGUGACACCACUCCAAUGCUGCUUUGUGGUCCUACCUACUGGAGAUGUCCCUUUGAAAGGAGAGGAAAUUGCUGUUGGAUAACAUCACUGCCUCCAUCACAGCUGGCACUGGCUGGUGCAGAUACGUGUUUACAUUUUGCUUGGAAGAUGUAAACACUAAUUAAGCAUUAAUGUUAAUGGGGCCUGGGCCCCUGGCUCUGCUGCUGGCGCUGCCCUGGCUGCUGUCCAUCUCACCCUGCUCACUAUCUGUGCUUCCUGGCAGAAAAUAAGGAUAAUUAUUUAUUCCUUUCCAAAGAGGGAGGGAAGGGACACCGGGGAGGGUCAUGUAAGGACAAAAUAUUGUGUUACUGGGAAUUAAACCAAAUCCUAUCAGCCUGAGAGGAAGGCAGGAGUGGUUGUUAUCCCAGGUUCCACCGUGGAUGUGAUCACCCAAUACUCUCUAUAUUUCCUCUUCUCACUUCCUGCACCCCAGCUCAGGCAGGGAAAAGCCUCUCCAGUUUGCCAUAGCCCAGGGCCAGGAUGGAUUAGCUCUGAGUGCAGGGGAUGUGAAGCAGCAUCCAGCCCUGUCGUGGUGCAGAAAAUCUACCUUUUGGGUUUAAUUCUCUGUAAAAAAGUCUUUGCUGUUCCUGUUCCCUCUUUAUGCCCUGCUGUGGGAUGCACUGGCCAUGGAGGAGCCUCCAGCACAGCCUGGCCCUGCCGUGGUUGUGGCCGUGGCCGUUCCAGGGCUUUGAUGGCAGAUUUUCCAUUUUCCCUUUGCUCGGCCCCGGCGAGAGCCAACGCUAAUUAGGGAGGGUAAUUCCUCCCAAACGGGUCCUCUCCCUUUGUGAGCCCGUGGGUUUGCCAGGAGAAUAAAAGCUCCCUGAUUGUCCCC
ensembl:lncRNA